CACCAAGGAGCGGAUGGCCGGAGUAGAGAGGUUGCACCAGCUUCUAGAAGCUUCCAGGAAGAGUUUGAGUUCCGCGGAAACCACUUCUUUAGUCGAUUGCUGCUUGGAUCUUUUGAAAGAUAACAAUUUCAAGGUCUCUCAAGGUGCUUUACUUUGGCUUCGGCUGCUGUGUUGUCCGGUGAGCAUUUGAAGUUGCAUUUCAAUGCGCUUGUCCCCGCCGUCGUCGAGCGGUUAGGUGAUGGUAAACAACCCGUUAGAGACGCUGCCAGACGUCUAUUGCUCACCCUCAUGGAGGUUUCUUCACCAACUAUCAUCGUCGAGAGAGNNNCUUUGCCUGGACACAUAAAAGCUGGAGAGUUCGUGAAGAAUUUUCUAGGACUGUCACAUCAGCAAUCGGUCUUUUUGCAGCUACUGAGCUUCCUCUUCAACGGGCUAUUCUUCCGCCUAUUUUGCAGAUUUUGAAUGACCCAAAUCCUGGUGUGAGGGAAGCUGCUAUAUUGUGCAUUGAGGAUAUGUAUACACAGGCAGGGCCUCAAUUCCGUGAUGAGCUUCACCGUCAUCAUCUUCCUAUGUCUAUGAUGAAAGAUAUUAAUGCUAGACUAGAGAAGAUUGAACCACAAAUACGCCCUUCAGAUGGACCAACGGGUAAUUUUGCUAUUGGAGAGAUGAAGCCUAUUACCCUUAACCCCAAGAAAAGUAGUCCAAAGGCCAAGAGUUCUGCAAGGGAGAUGUCUCUUUUUGGAGGAGAAAGUGAUGUUACAGAGAAACCCAUUGAGCCAAUUAAGGUUUACUCAGAAAAGGAGCUAAUCAGGGAAAUUGAGAAGAUUGCUUCUACCCUUAUUCCAGAAAAGGAUUGGUCCAUAC
rnacentral:misc_RNA from 1 species